GGGCCCGCACAAGUGGUGGAGCAUGUGGUUUAAUUCGAUGCAACGCGAAGAACCUUACCAACCCUUGAAAUCUAGCGAAGUUCACAGAGAUGAGAAUGUGCCUUCGGGAACGCUAUGACAGGUGUUGCAUGGCUGUCGUCAGCUCGUGUCGUGAGAUGUAUGGUUAAGUCCAGUAACGAGCGCAACCCCUAUCCUUAUUUGCCAGCGCGUUAAGGCGGGAACUAUAGGGAGACUGCCGGGUGAAACCCGGAGGAAGGCGGGGACGAGGUCAAGUCAUCAUGGCCCUUACGUAUAGGGCUACACACGUGCUACAAUGGAGAAUACAGACGGACGCUAAGCCGCGAGGUGGUGCC
rnacentral:rRNA from 1 species